UCGGUUGAUCCUGCCGGACCCCACUGCUAUCGGGGUGGGACUUAGGCAUGUUAGUCUGUGUCUUCUAGCUAAGGUGAAGACACGGCGGACGGCUCAGUAACACGUGGCUAAUCUGCCCUCGGGACGGAGAUAACCCCGGGAAACUGGGGCUAAUACUCGAUAGGUGAGAAGGCCCGGAAUGGUUUCUCUCCCAAAGGAUGUGGAACCAUGCUUCCAUUGUCGCCCGAGGAUGGGGCUGCGGCCGAUCAGGUUGUUGGUGAGGUAACGGCUCAUCAAGCCUUUAACCGGUACGGGCCGUGAGAGCGGGAGCCCGGAGAUGGGCACUGAGACAAGGACCUAGGCCCUACGGGGCGCAGCAGUCGCGAAAACUCCGCAAUGCGCGCAAGCGCGACGGGGCUACCCCGAGUGCCGUCCACUGAGGAUGGCUUUUCUCUGGUGUAAUGAGCCGGAGGAAUAAGGGGAGGGCAAGCCUGGUGUCAGCCGCCGCGGUAAUACCAGCUCCCCGAGUGGUGGGGAUGAUUAUUUGGCCUAAAGCGUCCGUAGCCUGCUCGGUAAGUCCUCCGUUAAAUCCGACGAUCUAAUCGUUGGGCUGCGGGGGAUACUGCAGGGCUAGGGGGCGGGAGAAGCCGACGGUACUCUUGGGGUAGGGGUGAAAUCCUAUAAUCCCAGGAGGACAACCAGUGGCGAAGGCGGUCGGCUAGAACGCGCCCGACGGUGAGGGACGAAANCUGGGGGAGCGAUCCGGAUUAGAUACCCGGGUAGUCCCAGCUGUAAACGAUGCAGGCUAGGUGUUAGCGUGACUACGGGNCACGCUAGUGCCNCA
rnacentral:rRNA from 1 species